GGGCGGUUAGUUCAGCUGGUUAGAACGCUUGUUUGACAGACAAGAGGUCAGUGGUUCGAGUCCACUACCGCCCA
rnacentral:tRNA from 1 species